GACGAACGCUGGCGGCGUGCCUAAUACAUGCAAGUCGAGCGCAGCGGCGGUUGGGUGAGUAACGCGUGGGUGACCUGCCCUUCAGUCUGGGAUACCAUUUGGAAACAGAUGCUAAUACCGGAUACUAAAGGAUUGACCUUCGGUACAUUAGCUCGUUGGUACGGUAACGGCUUACCAAGGCGAUGAUGCAUAGCCGGGUUGAGAGACUGAUCGGCCACAUUGGGACUGAGACACGGCCCAGACUCCUACGGGAGGCAGCAGUAGGGAAUCUUCCACAAUGGACGAAAGUCUGAUGGAGCAACGCCGCGUGAGUGAAGAAGGUUUUCGGAUCGUAAAGCUCUGUUGUUGGUGAAGCGGUAAUCAACCAGAAAGCCACGGCUAACUACGUGCCAGCAGCCGCGGUAAUAC
rnacentral:rRNA from 1 species